GAGUAAUGUCUGGGAAACUGCCCUCUGAGUAAUUGUUGGGAAACUGCCUGAUGGAGGGGGAUAACUACUGGAAACGGUAGCUAAUACCGCAUAACGUCUUCGGACCAAAGUGGGGGACCUUCGGGCCUCAUGCCAUCAGAUGUGCCCAGAUGGGAUUAGCUAGUAGGUGGGGUAAAGGCUCACCUAGGCGACGAUCCCUAGCUGGUCUGAGAGGAUGACCAGCCACACUGGAACUGAGACACGGUCCAGACUCCUACGGGAGGCAGCAGUGGGGAAUAUUGCACAAUGGGCGCAAGCCUGAUGCAGCCAUGCCGCGUGUAUGAAGAAGGCCUUCGGGUUGUAAAGUACUUUCAGCGAGGAGGAAGGGGUUAAGGUUAAUAACCUCAGCCAUUGACGUUACUCGCAGAAGAAGCACCGGCUAACUCCGUGCCAGCAGCCGCGGUAAUACGGAGGGUGCAAGCGUUAAUCGGAAUUACUGGGCGUAAAGCGCACGCAGGCGGUUUGUUAAAUCAUAUGUGAAAUCCCCGGGCUCAACCUGGGAACUGCAUUCGAAACUGG
rnacentral:rRNA from 1 species